rnacentral:tRNA from 1 species
GGGAUUGUGGCUCAGAGGAAGAGUGCUCACCUCGAAUGUGUGAGGCAUUGGGUUCGAUCCUCAGCCCCA